rnacentral:rRNA from 1 species
UACAGGAAAGGACUUCGACAAGGCGACACAGUUUCACCAAUGCUCUUCCUACUGAUAAUGGAGCCUUUGCAAAGCUUGUUUGAGCUCGCGGUGGAGCGUGGAUCACUUACACCCCUUGCAAGAACGGGUAUGAAGCAGCAUGUCUCGAUGUUCGCGGAUGACGUAAUGAUCUUCCUCAAGCCUGAUGCUAUGGACUUGCAAGUUUGUGCAUCGCUGCUGCAAGUGUUUGGGGAUGCUUCUGGGCUGCGUGUCAACUUGGCGAAGAGUGCUGCCUUACCUAUUCACUGCUCGGACGACAUAUUGAACAGAGUGGUGCAAAUCCUAGGCUGUCCAGCGGGUAGUUACCCUAGCAAAUAC